GUGCAGCAGGCGCGAAACUUCACACUGUGCGAAAGCACGAUGAGGGAAUCCCAAGUGCUUGCACGUAAGUGUAAGCUGUUUCUCUGUCUAAAACGCAGAGAGAGUAAGGGCUGGGUAAGACGGGUGCCAGCCGCCGCGGUAAUACCUGCAGCUCAAGUGGUGACCGUUAUUAUUGGGCCUAAAACGUCCGUAGCCGGUUUAAUAAAUGCCUGGGUAAAUUGUGUAGCUUAACUAUACGAAUUCCGGGGUAGACUGUUAAACUUGAGACCGGGAGAAGUUAGAGGUACUCCUGGGGUAGAGGUGAAAUUCUGUAAUCCUAGGGGGACCACCAGUGGCGAAGGCGUCUAACUAGAACGGGUCUGACGGUGAGGGACGAAGCCCUGGGGCGCAAACGGGAUUAGAUACCGCGUAGU
rnacentral:rRNA from 1 species